UUUCAAUGAACCUGAUGAUUUGUCUGCAAGAAGUGUGAUUGCAAAUCCUAUUGGAUCACAUGGAUUGGUGGAGGAGUGAUUAAAGGCAGUGAGGAAUUGACAGGAGCCCGGGAGUGUGAUAGGCGGCAGUCUCCGGAUACUGCAGAUACAGUCAGGAUGAGACUGUCACUGGCUCGGCCAGCAUUUCUUGCUGCGUUUACCCAGAGGGCAGUUAAGAAUCAACUACGUUGCUCUAGGUCUGGAGUCCCAUGCAGACCAGACCAGAUACCAGUGAUCAGUGCCAAAGCCCCAUUGCCUGUGGAGAAGGUGAUGUUUGACGUCCUGUACAGCUGCAAUUCGUGUGGUGAAGGUGCUCCCACAAUGUGG